rnacentral:rRNA from 1 species
GACGAACGCUGGCGGCGUGCUUAACACAUGCAAGUCGAACGGAAAGGCCCUGCUUUUGUGGGGUGCUCGAGUGGCGAACGGGUGAGUAACACGUGAGUAACCUGCCCUUGACUUUGGGAUAACUUCAGGAAAAUGGGGCUAAUAUAGGAUAGGAGCUCCUGCUGCAUGGUGGGGGUUGGAAAGUUUCGGCGGUUGGGGAUGGACUCGCGGCUUAUCAGCUUGUUGGUGGGGUAGUGGCUUACCAAGGCUUUGACGGGUAGCCGGCCUGAGAGGGUGACCGGCCACAUUGGGACUGAGAUACGGCCCAGACUCCUACGGGAGGCAGCAGUGGGGAAUAUUGCACAAUGGGCGGAAGCCUGAUGCAGCAACGCCGCGUGCGGGAUGACGGCCUUCGGGUUGUAAACCGCUUUCGCCUGUGACGAAGCGUGAGUGACGGUAAUGAGUAAAGAAGCACCGGCUAACUACGUG